UACGUAGGGGGCAAGCGUUGUCCGGAAUCAUUGGGCGUAAAGGGCGCGUAGGUGGCCCGGUCAGCGUGCGGUGAAAGCUCGGGGCUCAACCCCGAGUCGGCCGUGCGAACUGCUGGGCUUGAGCACUGUAGAGGCAGGCGGAAUUCCGGGUGUAGCGGUGGAAUGCGUAGAGAUCCGGAAGAACACCGGUGGCGAAGGCGGCCUGCUGGGCAGUGGCUGACACUGAGGCGCGACAGCGUGGGGAGCAAACAGG
rnacentral:rRNA from 1 species